rnacentral:rRNA from 1 species
UACGUAGGGGCAAGCGUUGGUCCGGAAUUAUUGGGCGUAAAGGAGCGCGUAGGCGGUCCGGUAAGUCGGCUGUGAAAGUCAAGGCUCAACCCUUGAAAGCCGGCCGAUACUGUCGGACUAGAGUCCGGAAGAGGCGAGUGGAAUUCCCGGUGUAGCGGUGAAAUGCGCAGAUAUCGGGAGGAACACCAAUGGCGAAGGCAGCUCG